GUUCUCGCUUCAGCAGCACAUAUACUAAAAUUGGAAAGGUACAGAGAUCAGCGUGGCCCCUGUGCAAGGAUGACAUGCAAAUUUGUGAAGCGUUCCAUAUUUUA